AUUACGGCACUCCGACUUUUCUAAGCGGAAGAAGAGGAGGAGGAAAAAUCAAAAGUAUUUGAGUUUCUCUUAUUCACAGAGCUUCGAUUCUCUCUGGAUAGUUCUUCGAUUUUCAUUUCAAAGAUGUCUUUUCUACAGCAAAGCAUAGAAGAAGUGGUGUAAGAAAAGGAGGGGUUUCUUCAUCUUUUAAGUUCGAUUGGAAGAUUGAGCAGUUCUCAAAGUUGGAUUCUCACGAAGGACAUACCUCUGAUGUUUUCUCCGUAGGGGGUUGUAAAUGGAAAAUGCAGAUCUAUCCAAAGGGAGAGAGGGAAGUGUACGAUUACUUAUCUUUGUACCUUGUUCCUGUGGAGCUGACGAAAUCAAUGAACAUGGAGUUCAGUUUUGCAGUCACAAGUCAAACCGAUCACAAUAUCAGAGUGCGGAUAGAAGGAAAAGACAAAUUCGCCAAAGAAGAUAAGCUCGGUUUGGGUUGGGCAACGUUCAUGCGUCUUACUGAACUCCAUGACCCUGCUAAAGGAUUUAUUGUGAACGAUACGUGUGUCAUUACAGUUGAGAUUGCUUGUAAGAUGAAAGAAGACAAAUGAUGAUGGUGCUGUGAGAAUGAGUGAACCAGCUGACAAGGUUUUGGAGACAAAAAGUUGCAAACUCAAAGACGAAAGGCAAUAGGGGAUAAUUUGGGGAAGGUUGAAGUUCAGCUAAUUGCACCACCGAUUACUCUAGUAUCAUUAAUGUAUCUAAAAGUAGGUUUUAGAAAAUUAUUUUUCAAAGUAAAGCUUUAGCAGACAUUAGUGUAUGAUGAAAUUGAUGCUGCUAGCAUUUGAUGCAUAUUUUUGCGAUUAGAUCUUUAAUCUUAUGUUUAUUUGUGAAUUUAAUUG